UUAGUAUUAUGUCGUAGACCCGAAACCAUGUGACCUACCCAUGAGCAGGUUGAAGGUGCGGUAAGACGCACUGGAGGACCGAACCAGGGCACGUUGAAAAGUGCUUGGAUGACUUGUGGGUAGCGGAGAAAUUCCAAACGAACUUGGAGAUAGCUGGUUCUCUCCGAAAUAGCUUUAGGGCUAGCGUCGACAUUUGAGAAUCUUGGAGGUAGAGCACUGUUUGGAUGAGGGGGCCAUCUCGGUUUACUGAUUUCAGAUAAACUCCGAAUGCCAAUGAUUUAUGGUCGGCAGUCAGACUGCGAGUGCUAAGAUCCGUAGUCGAAAGGGAAACAGCCCAGACCACCAGCUAAGGUCCCAAAAUAAUUGUUAAGUGGAAAAGGAUGUGGGGUUGCACAGACAACUAGGAUGUUAGCUUAGAAGCAGCUAUUCAUUCAAAGAGUGCGUAAUAGCUCACUAGUCGAGUGACCCUGCGCCGAAAAUGUACCGGGGCUAAAACAAUUUACCGAAGCUGUGGAUAACACAUUAGUGUUAUGGUAGGAGAGCGUUCUAUGUGUGAAGAAGGUAUACCGUGAGGAGUGCUGGAACGCAUAGAAGUGAGAAUGCCGGUAUGAGUAGCGAAAGAUGGGUGAGAAUCCCAUCCACCGUAAGACUAAGGUUUCCAGGGGAAGGCUCGUCCGCCCUGGGUUAGUCGGGACCUAAGGAGAGACCGAAGGGUGUAUCCGAUGGACAACAGGUUGAUAUUCCUGUACUAGAGUAUGAAGUGAUGGAGGGACGCAGUAGGCUAACUAAAGCGGGCGAUUGGAAGUGCCCGUCUAAGCAGUGAGGUGUGAUAUGAGUCAAAUGCUUGUAUCUGUAACAUUGAGCUGUGAUGGGGAGCGAAGUUAAGUAGCGAAGUUAGUGACGUCACACUGCCGAGAAAAGCUUCUAGCGAUGUAUCAUACUCUACCCGUACCGCAAACCGACACAGGUAGUCGAGGCGAGUAGCCUCAGGUGAGCGAGAGAACUCUCGUUAAGGAACUCGGCAAAAUGACCCCGUAACUUCGGGAGAAGGGGUGCUGACUGAAAGUCAGCCGCAGUGAAUAGGCCCAAGCAACUGUUUAUCAAAAACACAGCUCUCUGCUAAAUCGUAAGAUGAUGUAUAGGGGGUGACGCCUGCCCGGUGCUGGAAGGUUAAGAGGAGGGUUUAGCGCAAGCGAAGAUCUGAAUUGAAGCCCCAGUAAACGGCGGCCGUAACUAUAACGGUCCUAAGGUAGCGAAAUUCCUUGUCGGGUAAGUUCCGACCCGCACGAAAGGCGUAAUGAUUUGGGCACUGUCUCAACGAGAGACUCGGUGAAAUUUUAGUACCUGUGAAGAUGCAGGUUACCCGCGACAGGACGGAAAGACCCCAUGGAGCUUUACUGCAGUUUGAUAUUGAGUAUCUGUACCACAUGUACAGGAUAGGUAGGAGCCUACGAAGUCGGGACGCCAGUUUCGACUGAGGCGCUGUUGGGAUACUACCCUUGUGUUAUGGCUACUCUAACCCGGAUAGGUUAUCCCUAUCGGAGACAGUGUCUGACGGGCAGUUUGACUGGGGCGGUCGCCUCCUAAAAGGUAACGGAGGCGCCCAAAGGUUCCCUCAGAAUGGUUGGAAAUCAUUCGCAGAGUGUAAAGGUAUAAGGGAGCUUGACUGCGAGAGCUACAACUCGAGCAGGGACGAAAGUCGGGCUUAGUGAUCCGGUGGUUCCGUAUGGAAGGGCCAUCGCUCAACGGAUAAAAGCUACCCUGGGGAUAACAGGCUUAUCUCCCCCAAGAGUUCACAUCGACGGGGAGGUUUGGCACCUCGAUGUCGGCUCGUCGCAUCCUGGGGCUGUAGUCGGUCCCAAGGGUUGGGCUGUUCGCCCAUUAAAGCGGCACGCGAGCUGGGUUCAGAACGUCGUGAGACAGUUCGGUCCCUAUCCGUCGCGGGCGUAGGAAAUUUGAGAGGAUCUGCUCCUAGUACGAGAGGACCAGAGUGGACUUACCGCUGGUGUACCAGUUGUCUUGCCAAAGGCAUCGCUGGGUAGCUAUGUAGGGACGGGAUAAACGCUGAAAGCAUCUAAGUGUGAAACCCACCUCAAGAUGAGAUUUCCCAUAACUUUAUGUUAGU
rnacentral:rRNA from 1 species